rnacentral:rRNA from 1 species
AACGUAGGAGACGAACGUUAUCCAGAGUUACUGGGCGUAAAGGGCGUGUAGGCGGUUUGUUAAGUCUGGCGUGAAAGCUCUCGGCUAAACCGGGAGAGGUCGUUGGAUACUGGCAAACUAGAGGAUGGUAGAGGCGUGUGGAAUUCCGGGUGUAGUGGUGAAAUGCGUAGAGAUCCGGAGGAACACCAGUGGCGAAGGCGACACGCUGGGCCAUACCUGACGCUGAGGAGCGAAAGCAUGGGGAGCGAACAGG